AAUAAUAAGGGUAAAUUGGUAAUUUCGCAUAAUUGAAUGACAUCCCCUCCUUUCCCGAUCUUUUGUUUUUCGUUCUCUCUCUUCCUUUCUUUUUCUCUCUCCUCCUGCAAAUCCUCUCGUUCGACUUCAUGUUCAAUGUUUGAUUUUCAGGACUUCAUGUUCUUCAAUGUUGGAGUUUCGUUAUUCCUGCAAUUUUUUUCCUUUUCUUGCGAUUUUCUCUCUUUCAAUUCGCCAGGUACGUUUCAGUAAUUAUUGUGCUGACAUCUGACAUUUGAUGCGGAACCAAAGAAGACGAUUCAACAGAUUGCAAGAGGACUCAUAGGGUCUGUCAUUCACAUGAAGAUUACUAAUAGAAGCACUUCAUUUUGGAAAUAUUUGUGUUUGUUUUGUGGGUGGGAAGAUUGGGAGUGAAGGAGAACCAACUUGAUAAGUUCACCUCCAUACUGUUGGAUUUUGUGUGCUCGUACUUGCUGUGAGAUUAUUCAUUACUUCAUAAAUGUAAUGUGUUUUCUAUUCGGAGGCACUGGGGAAGCAUAGUAUUCUAUGCCUUGAGGAUUAUAUAUUUACUUUAUGCCUUAAAUAUUGGUUGAAUUGUAUGGGUAGAAGGCUUCCUGUUGAGUAUUCCUGCUAAGCAGAUUGAUUGUUUGAGGAGCGCCACAAGCCAAGAGGGGAACAUGGGAUGACUAGGCUGCCUAAGGGAGGUAGAGGCAGUAUUGCAGUAGUGGCACGCCUGCCCCCUUGCUUCAGUGUUGGGCACUUUCUCCUCGAGGCUAAUUAAAGGGUUGAUGGGUUCUUUCGGAGUUGGCAUAGAGGUUGUUGAGUGAAAUGACCAAGCAGACUGCGGUGGGAAGAGUUGUAGCUGCUGGAGUAGCGCAAUGCAAGACUGGAUGGGAGCGGGAGACUUGGUUGUUAACAAAAAAGUGCAGGGGAUGUGGUAAAUCACCUCGAUAGAUUGCAUUUCUUUUUCUGUAAUGACUGUACUCCAAAGGAAUGUGACACCAUGGCUUAUUUGCGGCUUUAGUAGGUAUAACUGCAUAAGGGACUUGAAUGAGGCUGAUUCAUCAUGGCUAACCUCUUUGCUAUUGAUACCUCAAUGUUGGUGGGCAUGACCAUCACAAAUGCAUCUAAGAGUUGCAAAUGUAUUGUUCCAUAUGGAAGCAAUAACACUAUUUUUAGGGCCAUGAAACAAUCAGAAUCAAUUAACAUAUUACUCAGGUUGCUCGCAUCAUCUUCAUUGAUCAAGACCAUAUCAGGUCUUUCCAAAGAUUGAUCAAUUAGUUUCACCACCUCAUCGAAUCGGGACAACAUGAUGAGUUUCCUUAGAAUUUCCAUCCAACAUGUGUGCAAAGGAUGCAUAGAGAAGGAUUCAAUUUUUUUGGUUUUUACUUUACUUUUAUUUAACUAGCCUACAGCUCAUUGGUACAGUAUCAAAAGAUGUGGGUUCGAAUCCCACGUAGGUUCGUCUUUACUUUUUUUUUUUUUAUUUACUUAUAAUUGAAAAACCUUUACUUUAACCUAUAUACUCCAAUCGGAGUUUUCUAGUUUUUUUUUAUCUUUAUUUACUUUUUGUAUUGUUUUAUUUACUUUUAAGUUGAAAACCUUUACUUUUGA